rnacentral:rRNA from 1 species
AGAGUUUGAUCAUGGCUCAGGAUGAACGCUAGCGACAGGCCUAACACAUGCAAGUCGAGGGGCAGCACAAAGAGUAGCAAUACUUUUGGUGGCGACCGGCGCACGGGUGAGUAACACGUAUGCAACCUACCUGUAAGCGGGGAAUAACCCGGAGAAAUCCGGACUAAUACCGCAUAACACUAUAUUUUCGCAUGGGAAUAUAGUUAAACAUUUAUGGUUUACAGAUGGGCAUGCGUAUGAUUAGCUAGUUGGUGAGGUAACGGCUCACCAAGGCAACGAUCAUUAGGGGUUCUGAGAGGAAGGUCCCCCACACUGGUACUGAGACACGGACCAGACUCCUACGGGACGCAGCAG